AGUGAAAUGACUGAGUUAAGGUAAUAAAUUGUAAAUUUAUUUAGGAGUAAUAAUACUCUUUCACUA
rnacentral:tRNA from 1 species